UGUUUGUUGUGUGUUGUUGUA
ensembl:piRNA 21ur-6067 ncRNA